rnacentral:lncRNA from 1 species
ACUAAAUCAAGCAACUCCUUGCACUUCCUUUUCAUGCUUACAAGCUCCGAACUUAAGUUCCCAUUCUCCUUCUUCAAACGCUUAUUCUCAUCCCUUAGGGUGUUGUACUCCGACAACGAUGACGUCGACGACGACGACCUUUGAUCUUCAUCAUGAGAUUCUUGUUGUGUUGCUGCUGCCGUUGCUGCUUGCUGCCUGUUUGCCCAUGCUUUUCUUCGACGUAUCUUGCAUAAAAGAUCUUUCUCCCCCUUUCUAAACAUUUGGUUGCAAAAUUCCCACCUGCUUGUUGCUACUUUUCGAAAUCCCUGCAUUCAUAUUACAUCCAUCUAUUUAAUAACAAAUAAAUCUCAAUAUGAAUGUAAAAAUUAAAUGCUAAGGAAGCUAUAUUUAUUUAUUUAUUUUAUAUUAUUAUCGGAUAAGACAUAAUAUGGUGUUAAUAUAACUAUAUUUUAACUUAUUUAUUUAGUAAUAAGUAUAAUGUCAUAUUUACAAGUUUUAUUUUUUAUUAAAAAAUAUUUUUUUAUUUUUUUACGGAUUCACGGAUUUUUUACGGAUUCAGAGAAGUAAAUCCAUAUCCAAUCCACUGACUGCGAAUUUUUAAAUUUUCAAUCUAAUCCAAACCACCAUUCCACGGAUCGAAUUUUUACGAAUUUGAUUUCUGCGGAUCAGACGGAUUGAGCAUAUCGGAUUGGAUUCUGAACACCCCUAUUCCUGAAUGCCAAUGUGAUGGGAGAACACAUGCAUAUACUAAUAAUAUGCACCCUUUGUCUUUGUUUUACGUAGAAACUUGGGUUUAUAAAUUAACUAGAUACCUGGACGGCAACAUAAAAGCAAAAACAAAUAAACUUAAAUCAUGUAAUUAAAAGGGCUUCUGCCCAACUUUAAUUAUCAACCUUAAUAAUAGAUUUUAAAGAGUACAUCAAUAACUACAAUAUUUCUAUCUCUACUAGGCUGCUUCCUUAUUCAUUCAACUUAAGUUAAACAUACUUUUUUUUUUUUUUUGAAUGCUUAACUUCUUGUAAUUCAUUGUAAAAGGUCAAACUAACUGAACUAUCUUUUAAAAAAGAUAUACAUACAUUAUGUAUUGAUAAGCUACUUAAUUACUUCAAUCAAGUACUAUCAAGCCUAUCAAUAGUGUUACCCUAAUUAUAGAGUAUCAUUAUUUGCAUGAUUGAGAUAGUAAAAUGUUAGCACUUUGACAGAUAAUCUCAGCGCUCUCUCUCUUUCUCUUCCUUUCCCUCUCUCCCUCAUCAACUUCAAAUCUAACUCCAAACAACUUCACUAUUAAUGGGCCCCUUUGGUUAUUAUUAAUCUCAUGCCCAUCAUCAUCUUCAUCAUCAUCAUCAUUAUCCAUAUUUGCGUACUUAGCCACUAAAUCAAGCAACUCCUUGCACUUCCUUUUCAUGCUUACAAGCUCCGAACUUAAGUUCCCAUUCUCCUUCUUCAAACGCUUAUUCUCAUCCCUUAGGGUGUUGUACUCCGACAACGAUGACGUCGACGACGACGACCUUUGAUCUUCAUCAUGAGAUUCUUGUUGUGUUGCUGCUGCCGUUGCUGCUUGCUGCCUG